rnacentral:ncRNA from 1 species
UUUUACCCAGACCUAGUGACCGUCCUGUUUGGGCUAAUAUCGAAAGGUUUAUAACCUACGCUGUAAUGGCAGACCUGGGAGCGUUUGACGAUAUUU